GAUGAACGCUGGUGGCGUGCCUAACACAUGCAAGUCGAGCGAUUCUCUUCGGAGAAGAGCGGCGGACGGGUGAGUAACGCGUGGGUAACCUGCCCUGUACACACGGAUAACAUACCGAAAGGUAUGCUAAUACGAGAUAACAUGCUUUUAUCGCAUGGUAGAAGUAUCAAAGCUUUUGCGGUACAGGAUGGACCCGCGUCUGAUUAGCUAGUUGGUGAGGUAACGGCUCACCAAGGCGACGAUCAGUAGCCGACCUGAGAGGGUGAUCGGCCACAUUGGAACUGAGACACGGUCCAAACUCCUACGGGAGGCAGCAGUGGGGAAUAUUGCACAAUGGGCGUAAGCCUGAUGCAGCAACGCCGCGUGAGCGAUGAAGGCCUUCGGGUCGUAAAGCUCUGUCCUCAAGGAAGAUAAUGACGGUACUUGAGGAGGAAGCCCCGGCUAACUACGUG
rnacentral:rRNA from 1 species